AUAUCUGUGUGUUUUAAUGUGCAAAGGGUCGUGUUUUCAGGUGGUUUUAUCAUUAAGAUGCCAAUGUUGACUGCUUCAAGUACAAUUGUUAGCUCGCCUCUAUUGCCAACAGGUGCUCACUUUCCGACUCACUUGGGUUCUAUCAGGAAGGGGAUUGAAUCUCACAGAUUAGCUCAGCUGCACCCAGAAAACUAUCUGAGAAGAUAAUCUGCAGAGCAGGGGACUUGCAAUCUACUGAGGUUAAGUAUCUUUGAAACCACUCCAAGGACCUCCUCUCCUUUGAGUUGUAGUUUCAUUUAAGUUGCCAAAAACUCCUGCAGUAACUUUGAUACCUCGCCAGCUACAUGUUCCAAUGGAUCUUUUUUUGCUUCACAGUUUCUUAGGUUCCAUUUCAUUUGGUAUUUAUUUUGGUGUGAUAUAUUUCUCUUAGGGUGUGUCAAAUGGUAAAGCUGCAAGUAAACCAUCUAUUGAUAAUAAUAAAAAUGAGCUUUCUAACCCUAAACCCUCUAAUAUCUGAGUAUGUUGUUGAAUCUAUUGGGUGUUUUGUUGAGGUUAAUUUUAGGGUACAGCAAUGGAUUGAAACAUCUGAGCAUGUUGUUGAAUGUUUUGAGUGUUUUGAGACUGAUGGAGAGAGAAAAACAGAGGAAAAUAGUAUCUGAAUAGAGUUUUUUUCUUUCAAUUACUUAUAAGAUUUCUUCAUAUAAAGCCCUUUGUUUAAUAUCAGUUUCUAUUGAGCUCCCUUAGUUUUUGGUGGAUGUUGGUGUGUAAGUGUGUGUUCUUCCUGUUAUUCACACUGAACCCAUUUUUCUGGAAGGCCAUAACGGUAUAAAGUAGGUAUAAAUUAGGUAUAAAUUAGGUCAAAAUGCUUCUGUAGAGGACUGUUCUGUAUGUAUGGAAUUUUGAUCUUUGUGGAAAUGUGAAUGGUAUGUUAGAAAGUGAAUUCAUAUAGACCGCAUAGUUGGAAUUUUGAGUUCUUAGGUUUAUUUUUGUGCAAAGUCUUCUGUUAGAAGAUUCAUUGAAGAGCCAUUUCUUUCCUUUUUCAGUCCCUCUUCUGUCACUUGAAAGGCUAAAGUACCUGCAAAGACAUGAAUUCUUGCAGGAAUUAUAGCUCAUGAGAGCAAUACUUUUUUUAUAUAAAUCUAUUUAAAGGAUGAGACAUAGAAGGAUCUUUGAAAAUUAUGGUCUGGAAUGGAUAUUUUGCAGACCAAAGUUUGAGAGGUCUGUCAUUGGGAAUGCAUAAUUGUAUCCGAAAGCUUCCCGUGAUGAACUUUAGGUCAAACUCAUAAAGAGAGAACAUUUAAAUUCGUAAAGAAGGGGUAGUGUUCAAGCUAUUUCCCAAGUUAUUAUUUCAAAUCUUUGCCCUUCCAAGUUUUAAAGGUUUAAAUUGUUUGUUAGGGUUUCUCAAUUUGGGUGUUUGAUUUACGAAUUUUAAUUCUUCUCUCUUUCUAAGUUUGAAAACUACCUUCAUUAUCUGGUUGGAGUUGUUGAUACAACCAGAACCAGAUUUUAAAUUCAGUUGGGAUUGUUGGGAGAUAAGAAUGGGAGAUUUUUUUGGCUGGCUCUUUGUCAGUUGGGAUUUGUUUUUGUUUUCUUUUCUUAAUGCUUCUUAAUUCCUGUUUUGCUUUAGCAAAGUGUUCAGCUCGCAUGAAUUUGAUCUUUCGGUUAAUAGAGCUUAGAAAUUAGCUUACGGCACCAUAUGAAAAUGGGUUUAAUUUUCUUUAGGUUUAUAGUGAAGAAGUCGAUCGUUUAAAAGGGUUUUUCUUCAAGAACAAACAUAUAGUGUAAUUUAAGAUAAACAAAAAGAAACUAAACUAUUUUUAUAUCACCAAAAAUUUCAGUGUCUCUGAUACCAAAUCAGACCAAAGUGAGUCAAAUUAAAGUUAGUAACCAACUGAACUUACUACAAGUGAAAUGUGUCUGAACAAUGAGUUGA